rnacentral:rRNA from 1 species
UACGUAGGGUGCGAGCGUUGUCCGGAAUUAUUGGGCGUAAAGGGCUCGUAGGCGGUUUGUCGCGUCGGGAGUGAAAUCCACUGGCUUAACUGGUGGCUUGCUUUCGAUACUGUCGUGCUUGAGGACUGGAGAGGAGACUGGAAUUUACGGUGUAGCGGUGAAAUGCGUAGAUAUCGUAAGGAAGACCAGUGGCGAAGGCGGGUCUCUGGACAGUUCCUGACGCUGAGGCACGAAGGUCAGGGGGAGCAAACGGG